CGUCGUGUAUGAGCCCAUCAUUUCUUUUCAUUCAUUCGUCUGUUGGUUGUUCGAGACAACAGACUGUCAGACAAAAAAAGGCCAGCAUAGAAAGCUAAUAAAAUGGCAUAUUUCUAUUUGAGAAAAGCCAAAUAAAUCAGAAUCAUCAUCAUCGAAUAACCUAAAAUGGAAGAAUAUUGUUCGGAAUUUCGGUGAUAGUGCCCCAAUAUGUCUGAGAAAAAUGAAUUCGUUUGCUCUUCGUAUAUGCCUACGACAGAAUAGACUUUUCGUUUGGUGUGAGUUCAAUUUUAGUUUGCAGCCGAUUAUAAUAGUCGCAUUCGCAUUUCGUGGCUUCAAUGGCGCAGUACAAACUAACGGUACCCUUGUGGAAUUUCAUAAGAAUAGUAACAACAACAAGAAGAAAAAACAACAACACUAUAUAGUAUUGACAACAACACAAAAGAAUAAUGACCACAAUGAUAUUAUUACAACAAAAAAAUUAUACAACAAUGUGUACAACAACGACGCAAUGUAAACAGCAAAACAAAGAAACAAUAAAGAUAAAUAAAAACAAAUAAUGCAAAAUAAAAAACAAAAAAUAAAUAAAAAAUAAUAACAAAAACAAACUCAAAGGUGUUGAAGAAUAGCAAAAACAACAAAUGAAAUUUCUUUCCCAGUGCGUUCCUGAUAAAAUGGUUUUGUUUUAAGAAAAUACUAGAAGUUCCAUUGACGAAAAAAAAUGAUUUGUUCAAACACACAAAUAAUGUUUGCUGAACCCCGCAUAACCUUCUUAUCGCCAACGAAACAAUUGAAUAUAUUUCCUAGCCAACCAACCACACAUCUUAUCAGCCUCAACGCUGCAUCGUUGCACCCUGACCUCUUUUGCAUCGAGGCGACCUUGUAUACUAUGUGCACGCGACAAAAUGCCUACAAAAGUUUAGUAGCUCGGCACAUACUCAACGCACCGCCAGCCCGCCCCAUUCUUCCAUGCCACAUAUCAGCCAAGAUUUUGAACAUGACGAUUAUUAAAAGAUGAAACGGCACCUAACCACUACUUCUGUACCCAGCAUCAAAGACAGAUCCUAACCUACAUUAACUGCUAAAGAUUGGGUUGGUCAUGAAUGAUUUGCUGAUUGUUUCUGUGUGGAGGGGAUGGAAGGAGAAUAAUCAAAAGUUUUUAUGAUUUUUUCUACCAUUAACAACUGUGAAGCAACAAGGAUAAUACAACUUUCCGGAAUGCACACGCACACAGGCACGCAAAACAAGAAGUAUUUACGUGGAGUGACUUCAGUCUGUGAAAACACCCAACGACAACAACAAUAACAACAAAAAGAUGUUAUGUUUAGAUUUGCAACAUCAUAAAGGAAAUACGCUUUAAUUCCCUCCUUAAAAUGUCACGAAUGAGCUCAUGUAUGAGAGUAAAGCGGAAACAUGGAACACAUUCCCACACACACACACACACCCACCCACCAAAGGUAAUGUGGGUUUUUGCCAAUUUAACUAGAAACCACACAACCCCGUUGGCUUAUUUUUCUUCAACUUCUAAACGACACCAGAUGAUUUAUGAAGAAGAUGACAUGAAGAGCCAGUCCAUAUGAAAGAUUUUAUGGUGCAUCAAGAAUUUCAACGUUUAAGGGCAGCCAAAUUGCCAUAUUGCACAAAAUAUGCCAUUAACCGUAUCGUUGUCGAAAGCGAUAAAGUAAAGCAUCGAUUCUCGAGGGAAAAGCGAAAAACAAACAGCUGACAUAUGAGCUUGAAGCGCUGGAACCUGAUGAUGUAAUGACAACAGAAUAAUAUAUGUAUACCCCCUGAUCGCCCAUUCCGCUUUCAAGGAACGUGAAAAUUCAUAUAUGCAACAGAUCGGUAAG